GGAAAUCAUUACUUUGGCUUCCUGUCUGCCACCCCAUUGACUGCCACUGUUGACAAGGCUGAUCAGUCUGACUAGUUGGGUGUCUCCUUCCUUUCUCAUUGUCCCAUUGUGUCCUUCUGGAAGCUGAGUGCUCUGCAGAAAGGGAUGACCUUUCAUGGUAGUGGAGUGCCUGCAUCAGUAGAGAGUGUAUGGGUGAUUGCACUCCCAUUAGAUCCUCCAAACAGGCUCUUAGGGUCCAAAUAUGACCUCACACACAGCACAUCAUUCAUUGUUAAUGAUUCCAAGUAAGAGUCAUCUGA
rnacentral:snRNA from 1 species